rnacentral:rRNA from 1 species
GCUCAACCUGGGAACUGCAUUCGAAACUGGCAGGCUAGAGUCUUGUAGAGGGGGGUAGAAUUCCAGGUGUAGCGGUGAAAUGCGUAGAGAUCUGGAGGAAUACCGGUGGCGAAGGCGGCCCCCUGGACAAAGACUGACGCUCAGGUGCGAAAGCGUGGGGAGCAAACAGGAUUAGAUACCCUGGUAGUCCACGCCGUAAACGAUGUCGAUUUGGAGGUUGUGCCCUUGAGGCGUGGCUUCCGGAGCUAACGCGUUAAAUCGACCGCCUGGGGAGUACGGCCGCAAGGUUAAAACUCAAAUGAAUUGACGGGGGCCCGCACAAGCGGUGGAGCAUGUGGUUUAAUUCGAUGCAACGCGAAGAACCUUACCUGGUCUUGA